GGAAUAUAAGAACCCGUCUCUUAACUUUUAACUAAAAAAUCUAAGAACCGGUUUUUAAAUAAGAGUUUUAAGAACCGGUUCUUAAUUUUUUUAGUUAAAAGUUAAGUGACGGAUUUUUAUAUUCC
rfam:Brassica oleracea var. oleracea cultivar TO1000 chromosome C3, whole genome shotgun sequence